UACAGAGGGUGCAAGCGUUGUUCGGAAUUAUUGGGCGUAAAGGGAGUGUAGGCGGUUUGCUAAGUCUUCUGUGAAAUCUACGGGCUCAGCCUGUAACGUGCAGAGGAAACUGACAGACUUGAGUGUCGGAGAGGAUAGUGGAAUUCCCGGUGUAGAGGUGAAAUUCGUAGAGAUCCGGAGGAAGACCGGUGGCGAAGGCGGUCUGCUGGGCAGUUUCUGACACUGAUGCGCGACAGCGUGGGGAGCAAACAGG
rnacentral:rRNA from 1 species